rnacentral:misc_RNA from 1 species
GAUGAAGAACGUAGUGAAAUGCGAUAAGUAAUGUGAAUUGCAGAAUUCAGUGAAUCAUCGAAUCUUUGAACGCACAUUGCGCCCGCCAGUAUUCUGGCGGGCAUGCCUGUUCGAGCGUCAUUACAACCCUCAAGCCCCCCGGCUUGGUGUUGGGGACCGGCCACCGGUGCCCUGCUGCUUCCGCGGCAGGCGCACCCGGCCGCCCCCGAAAUGAAUUGGCGGCCCCGUCGCGGCCUCCCUCUGCGUAGUAGCACACAUCUCGCAGCUGGAGCGCGGCGCGGCCACUGCCGUAAAACGCACCAACUUUUUUUACAGUUGACCUCGAAUCAGGUAGGAAUACCCGCUGAACUUAAGCAUAUCAAAAGCGGAGGA